rnacentral:rRNA from 1 species
GAUCCAGACUCCUACGGGAGGCAGCAGUGGGGGAUAUUGCACAAUGGGGGAAACCCUGAUGCAGCGACGCCGCGUGUGGGAAGACGGUCCUCUGGAUUGUAAACCACUGUCCCCAGGGACGAAGAUGACGGUACCUGGGGAGGAAGCUCCGGCUAACUACGUGCCAGCAGCCGCGGUAAUACGUAGGGAGCGAGCGUUGUCCGGAAUUACUGGGUGUAAAGGGAGCGUAGACGGCAGUGCAAGUCCGGAGUGAAAGCCCGGGGCUCAACCCUGGGACUGCUCUGGAAACUGUAAGGCUGGAGUGCGGGAGGGGCAGGCGGAAUUCCUGGUGUAGCGGUGAAAUGCGUAGAUAUUAGGAGGAACACCAGUGGCGAAGGCGGCUUACUGGACUGUAACUGACGUUGAGGCUCGAAAGCGUGGGGAGCAAACAGGAUUAGAUACCCUCGUAGG